rnacentral:rRNA from 1 species
GGGGCGGGUCUAGGUAUAGCAUUAUACCGUGAAACUGCGAAUGGCUCAUUAAAUCAGUUAUCGUUUAUUUGAUAGUACCUUACUACUUGGACAACCGUGGUAAUUCUAGAGCUAAUACAUGCUGACAACCUCGACUUACGAAGAGGUGUAUUUAUUAGAUAAAAAACCAACGCCCUUCGGGGCUUCUUGGUGAUUCAUAAUAACUUUACGGAUCGCAUGGCCUUGCGCCGGCGACGGUUCAUUCAAAUUUCUGCCCUAUCAACUUUCGAUGGUAAGGUAUUGGCUUACCAUGGUUUCAACGGGUAACGGGGAAUUAGGGUUCGAUUCCGGAGAGGGAGCCCGAGAAACGGCUACCACAUCCAAGGAAGGCAGCAGGCGCGCAAAUUACCCAAUCCCGAUACGGGGAGGUAGUGACAAUAAAUACUGAUACAGGGCUCUUUUGGGUCUUGUAAUUGGAAUGAGUACAAUUUAAACCUCUUAACGAGGAACAAUUGGAGGGCAAGUCUGGUGCCAGCAGCCGCGGUAAUUCCAGCUCCAAUAGCGUAUAUUAAAGUUGUUGCAGUUAAAAAGCUCGUAGUUGAACCUUGGGUCUGGCUGGCAGGUCCGCCUCACCGCGUGUACUUGUCCGGCCGGGCCUUCCUUCUGGAGAACCUCAUGCCCUUCACUGGGCGUGUUGGGGACCAGGACUUUUACUUUGAAAAAAUUAGAGUGUUCAAAGCAGGCCUUUGCUCGAAUACGUUAGCAUGGAAUAAUAGAAUAGGACGUGCGGUCCUAUUUUGUUGGUUUCUAGGACCGCCGUAAUGAUUAAUAGGGACAGUCGGGGGCAUCAGUAUUCAAUUGUCAGAGGUGAAAUUCUUGGAUUUAUUGAAGACUAACUACUGCGAAAGCAUUUGCCAAGGAUGUUUUCAUUAAUCAGUGAACGAAAGUUAGGGGAUCGAAGACGAUCAGAUACCGUCGUAGUCUUAACCGUAAACUAUGCCGACUAGGGAUCGGGCGAUGUUAUUUUUCUGACUCGCUCGGCACCUUACGAGAAAUCAAAGUUUUUGGGUCUGGGGGGAGUAGGCCCCCC